UACAGAGGUCUCAAGCGUUGUUCGGAUUCAUUGGGCGUAAAGGGCGCGUAGGCGGCGGCGUAAGUCGGGUGUGAAAUCUCAGAGCUCAACUCUGAAACUGCACUCGAUACUGCUCUGCUUGAGGACUGGAGAGGAGACUGGAAUUCACGGUGUAGCAGUGAAAUGCGUAGAUAUCGUGAGGAAGACCAGUGGCGAAGGCGGGUCUCUGGACAGUUCCUGACGCUGAGGCGCGAAGGCCAGGGGAGCAAACGGG
rnacentral:rRNA from 1 species